rnacentral:piRNA from 1 species
UGGACAUGCAUUCCUGAUGAGAUGAAGCAG